rnacentral:tRNA from 1 species
GCCCGAGUGGUGAAACUGGUAGACACAUCGGACUUAAAAUCCGCCGCUUUCCUUAAACGGGGCGUGCCGGUUCAAUUCCGGCCUCGGGCACCA